AAUCUUAUAGUUUAAAUAAAACAUUAAACUGCAGAUUUAAAGAUAAAUUUUAUAUUUAAGAUUU
rnacentral:tRNA from 2 species